rnacentral:lncRNA from 1 species
UGAUUUAGGUGGAUUCUAUAUUGUCCCAUUUGAGCUUAUGUCUUAUAUGAGCGCUUUGUUGAAUAAAAUUAGUAUUUGGGAUAGUAAUGAGCAAGUAGUUCAAUUAUGUUCCUUCUUGAUUAUCACUUUAUAAGUUAGGAGUUGUGAUGUUUUUGUUUUUUCAAAUUGAAAUCAAACAAUAAUAUUCUAUUUUGGCAUCUCCAUCUUUGUCGGCAUCGGUGUCUACGUUCUUGGCUCUGCUAGGUAGCACACUUACUCCCUUUUCCGUUUCCAAUUCUUUGAUUUUGUUAUUCUCGUGUUUUGACAUUGAAUUGCAUUCAUGGC